rnacentral:lncRNA from 1 species
CGACCCACAGGCACCAUGACUCCUGUGAGGAUGCAGCACUCCCUGGCAGGUCAGACCUAUGCCGUGCCCUUCAUCCAGCCAGACCUGCGGCGAGAGGAGGCCGUCCAGCAGAUGGCGGAUGCCCUGCAGUACCUGCAGAAGGUCUCUGGAGACAUCUUCAGCAGUGAGAGCGGCCUUGCUGCGGCCAAAGAACAUGGAAAAGCAUGAGUGGGGUGAUGUGCCUUAAAGCAUCAGACACUUGGGCCUCGGGCAUCAGGAGCCAGCCACAGGGAUGUCUGGGGAAAUGGCGUUCCAUGAGAUGCAAGCACACAAGAAUGCACUUGGCACAUCUGGGGAACAGCAGGCAGCUGAUAUCACUGGGCCCACCCCGCACCAGGGAGGAUGGAAGCAGGUCAGAUUAUCCUUGUAGAGGCCCCCUGGAUGGCACCAAGAUCGGCCCUGGCAAGUAG